AUAUGGUUUUAUAAAAUAAAUAUCUAAGUUUAAGUAUGUCAUUUACAAUGAUAAGAUGUUUUUAACUU
rnacentral:tRNA from 1 species